CCUACGGGAGGCAGCAGUAGGGAAUAUUGCGCAAUGGGGGAAACCCUGAAGCAGCAACGCCGCGUGGAGGAUGAAGGUUUUCGGAUUGUAAACUCCAUUUGUUAGAGAAGAUAAUGACGGUAUUUAAUGAAUAAGCACCGGCUAACUCCGUGCCAGCAGCCGCGGUAAUACGGAGGGUGCAAGCGUUACUCGGAAUCACUGGGCGUAAAGAGCGCGUAGGCGGGAUAGCAAGUCAGAUGUGAAAUCCUAUGGCUUAACCAUAGAACUGCAUUUGAAACUGUUAUUCUAGAGUGUGGGAGAGGUAGGUGGAAUUCUUGGUGUAGGGGUAAAAUCCGUAGAGAUCAAGAGGAAUACUCAUGGCGAAGGCGACCUGCUAGAACAUAACUGACGCUGAUGCGCGAAAGCGUGGGGAGCAAACAGGAUUAGAUACCCUAGUAGUC
rnacentral:rRNA from 1 species